AGUAACGGCGAGUGAAGCGGCAACAGCUCAAAUUUGAAAUCUGGCCCCCUCGGGGUCCGAAUUGUAAUUUGGAGAAGAUGCUUUGGGUGUGGCCCCGGUCCAAGUUCCUUGGAACAGGACGUCACAGAGGGUGAGAAUCCCGUACGUGUCCGGCGGCCCCCCCGUGUAAAGCUCUUUCGACGAGUCGAGUUGUUUGGG
rnacentral:rRNA from 1 species